rnacentral:rRNA from 1 species
GACGAACGCUGGCGGCGUGCUUAACACAUGCAAGUCGAACGGAACGUUCCUGCUUUUGUGGGGUCCUCUAGUUGCGAACUGGUGAGUUACACUUGAGUUACCUGUCCCUGCCUUUGGGAUAACUUCAUGCAACUUGGUCUAAUACCGCAUAGGAUUUCCUGCCUUAUGGUGGGGGUUGGUUAGUUUCGGCGGUUGGGGAUGGACUCGCGUCUUAUCAGCUUGUUGGUGGGGUAGUGGCAUACCAUGGCCUUGACCGGUAGCCGACCUGCGAGGGUGACAGGACAAAUUAGAACUGAAAUACGGCACAGACUACUACGGGAGGCAGCAGUGGGGAAUAUUGCACAAUGGGAGGAAGCAUGAUGCAGCAAAGCAGCGUGGGGGAUGACGGCAUGCGGGUAGUAAACCGAUUUCGCCUGUGACGAAGCGUGAGUGACGGUAAUGGGUAAAGAAGCACCGGCUAACUACGUG